GAGAAAGAAAUGCAAGAGCUGCUAACUCAUGUCUCCACAUUUAAAAAUGCGGCUUUCUUA
rnacentral:tRNA from 1 species